GCUUUCCUAUCCAGGACCCUGCUGCCUCUGACCGCACCCCAAGCCUUCUCUGCUGCUCACAUGGGCUCCUCUCUCCUUUGUGCUUUUUGCCUUCUGUCCCCACUGCCUGGAAAACGUUCCCCUCACAUUUUGCAUGGCUGCUGCCUUCUCAUCACAGAGGUCUCAGGUCAACCAUCACUACCCCCAGGAGGCCUUCCUUGACUGCCCUAUCUCCUGUCACUGGCCUCCACUACCAGUCACUGCCAUGUUCACUUCCUUUUGUUGUCAUCUAGCACCUGUCCCUGUCUGAAUUGUAUCAUUUAUCUGUUAUUAUUUGUUUAUUCUGUUCCUGCCUGUCUCCCUGAGGCCAGGGACCUUGUCUGUCUUUAUUACUAUGCUGACCCUGGUGCUCAGCACUUAAUAAAGAAUCAUUAAAACAAAAUGAAUGAAGGACACUAAAGGCUGUCAUAGAAGUUACUUGGACAACACCACCCACCCCUGGGGGGUGGGGUGGUGGGAACUUGCUUGGUGAUGGCAACAAACAAACAAACACUUUCCCCUUCCCACUUCUCUUCCGGUAUUCCAGACAGGAGGAAUAAUGUACUGAUCUGCUGACAUUAAGAAGGACCCUAUUUUCAGAUUACUUCUUCAAAGGAGCAGCAUCUACAUUGGCAAGAUUUUUGAAAAAAUUGGAUUCCUCGGCCAGGAGUGGUGGCUCACACCUGUAAUUCCAACACUUCGGGAGGCCGAGGCGGGCAGAUCACCCGAGGUCAGGAGUUCGAGACCAGCCUGACCAACAUGGAGAAACCCUGUCUCUACUUAAAGUACAAAAUUAGCCAGGUGUGGUGGCGCAUGCCUGUAAUCCCAGCUACUCAGGAGGCUGAGGCAGGAGAAUUGCUUGAAUCCGGGAGGCAGAGGUUGUGGUGAGCCAAGAUCACGCCAUUGCACUCCCCCCUGGGCAACAAGAGUGAAACUCCAUCUCAAAAAAAAAAAAAAAAGAAAAAAGAAAAUUGGAUUCCUCAAUCCAGGAUCUCUUGCAUUUGGAGAACUUUAGGCUUUCAGCUGUUGCAUGCCUAGGCCUUGUCAUAAUCCAAUAAAGCAGGAUAUGGAACGGGAUAUUGGAUAUGGAAGGGGAUAGGAUUGGUGGAUGAAACAGAGAAAGGGAGAGAGAGACAGAAAACACACACACACACACACACUCUGAGAGAGAGAGAGACACACACAGAGAGAGAGAUUCCGCUGUAACAAACUCUUGGAAGACAGAAAGAGGAGGCAAAGGAGAGGAAGGGCCAGUGACAGCUCUGCUGCUCUGAAAGUCAAGGGGCCCUUGGCUCACUGCCUUCCCCGUCCUUCCCUGGGGCCAGGUGCGCUGGAAUCCUAGAUUCCCUGGGAGUGAGGGUAGGUACCAUGACGGCAUGAAGUCACCUCCCACCACCUUCAAGACUUCCCACUGCCAGUCUGUAGCCUGUGUGUUGAGUCCUGGUCCAACCCUGAGUCACCCGUGUGAACUGGGGUCAGUGAUUGGUCUCUAGUUCUCCAUCUCUCCAUCUGAAGAAUGUGAAUAAUAAUUUCUGACUUGGCUGUUUACAGGACCGCCGUGAGGAUCCAAGUGCACAGUGAGGUGGGGGGAGGCAGAUACAUGGAUUCCUUUCCACGUGGCCCACAAGAAACACCUGUCCCUCCAGACUCGGGGACCACCAGGGACCUUGAAUAGUUGCCUUGGCAACUCAUUGCCUGGCUAACUCCCACUCCUUUGGGUUUCAGCUUAAACAUCAGUUGUGCAAGAUCUUCUGGACCCCUAAGUUGGGUCCUCCUCUUGUAAGCAUUCAUAGCAUUCUCUACAUACCCUUUACAGCACUUUUAUGAGUUGAAUAGCAUGGUUAUUGGUGUGCUUAUUUGUUUCACACCUGUCUUUUGCACUAAAUUCUAAGCUCUCUGAGGAAAAGGAAUAUGUUUCUGUUGCGUACCAUCUUAUCACCACGUAGCAGUGGGUGCUCCAUAAGAUCCUCCUGCGUGAGUAAGUGAAUUCCCUGCCUCAUCCCUCUCUCAUGCCUUAGCAUGAGGCCUGAGGCCAAGAGCCCGUCCAUCACAUACCCCUUGCCCAAAGCCUCCUUAUAACGGUCAGGAGAAGGGUGGCAUCUCCUCCUCUCCCUUCUAACUCAAGGAACAAAUCACUGGCUACAUGAUAGUUGCCCUUCCUCCCAUCCUUCCAGCAUAGUAGCCCCUGCCCAGGAUCCAAAAGGCAGAAGGUGAGUAAUUGCUAUUUUUAUUUAUCUUUGCACAAGGCUGCCCUCUGGUGGUCGAACAUGUAGGAGCGAAUGGGAAGGAUGGAAACCCCAGUAGCCAGGAACCAGCCCAGCUGGCUGAGCCAACCACGCUCAAGAGACUGGCCAGCGAGCCAGGGAGUAGGUUGGAGCUGUCUCCACACCUUGCUCCAUCCCUCUCAAGAUGAGGGGAUUCUAACCAGCUCUCCACCUGCACUAGGCCCAAACCAGAGGAAAUAACAUAAACCAGGACUCCUUGGAAAAGCCCUCGGAUGCCUCAGUGCCCCUCCCUGGAGUUUUGUCCUGUGCAGUGGCCGUCCAUCUUGCAUCCUUUAGAAGAAGCCUCUUGAAAGCGAGAACCAACAGGCCCAGGAAUCCCUGGAUCCACCUCACCUCCACUUGGCAUUACAUACUCAGCCCUUUGAAGUCUUCGGCCCUGAUACGGCUGAUGCGGUUGAAGCGUGCAUACAGCAGAUUGCUGAGGCCUCACUGCCAGGGAUGCCAGCCGCAGCCUCCAGGAGGGCAUCAGGGAAGGAAAGAGAGCUGCUGAGGAGGGACUUUGAAGCUGAAAAGCAGUGUGACUGCUUCAUUUGCUCCCAUGCCAAGUGACAGCCACAAAGUUAGUUAUUCUUCUCUACAGGCUUUUAAUUGUCUGUAAUCUAAUUACCACUCAACCUGCUUCCCCCGUCAUGCUAUUAAUUAAGGCAGGGUGGCUUUGCUAGGGCAUAAGGGAGUUCUUGCAUUUCUUUGCUUCUUACUCAACUUGUACAUUCAGGCAAAAGUAUUAGGGACAGCCAGUGCCAGUCUUUGAUUUCUUUUUUCCUGUUCUUACUGUGGCUAUUUCCCCUUCUCUCCCUGCUAGUAAGGGUAGCCCUGACCCUCCAUGCCCCAACCCCAACCACGUUCCACUUUGGUACCCCCUGGUGCUGGGUCAUAGCUGCUUGGCCUAUGACCUAGGGAUAUUGCGACCAUGUGACUGUGCACUUACCAUGGUUGGGCUGGGAACUCAGUAGCAGCCCUGCUGUAGUAGGUCUGGUCAUCGUGGGGUUUGACGAGGGUGUCCCUGGAGCCGUAGUGCUCUUGGCGGGACUGAUGCUGGUUGCAGGAGCGAGGCUAGUCACCUUAACCUGGAGAUGUAGCACAGAGUACACAGUAGCCCAGCUUUUGCACAAAAGGGACUUAACUUUGGACUCUGGGAACCUCAGUGAUGGAUUUCAAACCAGCAAAGAGUCACUGUGGAGGAGGAGGAGGGAAGGAUAGCAGAAAGACUGUGCAAAAAGGGGACCUGACAGAGCAUCAGGUCCAGCAUGUCCAUCCUAUGGAUGAAGAAACUGGGGCCCAGAGAGGAGAGGGAUGAGGAUCAAAGAGCCAGCAGGUGGUCAAGGCAGAGACGAAACCUGCUCUCCCGAUUUCCCAGGCCGGCACUCUUCCCCUGCUCCACACCGACCAGGCUCACGCACAAUUGAGUAGGGGCUUCUGGGCUUGCACCCCACGCUGCUGCAGUGAAGGCCAAGAGGACCUGGGAAAGAACUUCAGACUGGAGGACAGUUUCAGAAAAGAGAUGGGGGAUGUGGCACUUUUAUUUCCUAGAGAAUAUGAUGAGGACAUUGCGAACCCCUCCCCCAGUGAGACAUAGCUUUGGCAGGGGGAGGCAAGUAUGAGUUUUGAAGAAGGAGAAGUCCCAGGUUUGUGUCCUGUUUCUUAGUAUCAUCUAAGUGACAAGUCCCUAUGGAGGGAUAAGAAUUUCCACCUCACAGAGAAAGAGGUGGAGGCUGGAGACACCCGCACUUUGGGGCAGAUGGGAGGGCCCUGGCCUCUGACUCCCAGUGUCAUGCAGGGAAUGUAGUUGGUCUGCUGUGUCC
rnacentral:lncRNA from 1 species